AUUGAACGCUGGCGGCAGGCUUAACACAUGCAAGUCGAGCGGGGUGAUGGUGCUUGCACUAUCACUUAGCGGCGGACGGGUGAGUAAUGCUUAGGAAUCUGCCUAUUAGUGGGGGACAACAUCUCGAAAGGGAUGCUAAUACCGCAUACGUCCUACGGGAGAAAGCAGGGGAUCACUUGUGACCUUGUGCUAAUAGAAGAGCCUAAGUCGGAUUAGCUAGUUGGUGGGGUAAAGGCCUUCCAAGGCGACGAUAUGUAGCGGGUCUGAGAGGAUGCUCCGCCACACUGGGACUGAGACACGGCCCGGACUCCUACGGGAGGCAGCAGUGGGGAAUAUUGGACAAUGGGGGGAACCCUGAUCCAGCCAUGCCGCGUGUGUGAAGAAGGCCUUAUGGUUGUAAAGCACUUUAAGCGAGGAGGAGGCUCUUUUGGUUAAUACCCAAGAUGAGUGGACGUUACUCGCAGAAUAAGCACCGGCUAACUCUGUGCCAGCCGCCGCCGUAA
rnacentral:rRNA from 1 species